rnacentral:rRNA from 1 species
CCUACGGGAGGCAGCAGUGGGGAAUAUUGCACAAUGGGCGCAAGCCUGAUGCAGCGACGCCGCGUGCGGGAUGGAGGCCUUCGGGUUGUAAACCGCUUUUGUUCCCUGGCAAGGCACGGUCUUUGGCCGUGUUGAGUGGAUUGUUCGACUAAGCACCGGCUAACUCCGUGCCAGCCGCCGCGGUAAUACGUACGGUGCAUGCGUUAUCCGGCUUUCUUUGGCGUAACGGGCUCGU